rnacentral:lncRNA from 1 species
AUUACAGAUCCUACUCCACCUCCGCCAGUCACUACAGUCAGUAAGCAAUCUUCAAAAGGUCCAUCUACUACACUGACAAAUUAUCAUACAUUCACUUUACCACAAAACACACUUUCUCAGAAUCCAGUAAAAAGAACCCAGCAAACAGUAACCAUCCAACAUAAUACUGAAAAUGCAGCAUCUCCAAAAUCAACCACUUUAAGAAAAACCACUACAAUUACAAAACCCACAUCUCCAAAAUCAGUCACUUUAAGAAAAACCACUACAAUCGCAAAACCCACAUCUCCAAAAUCAACUGCUUUAAGAAAAACCACUACAAUCACAAAACCCACAUCUCCAAAAUCAACUGCUUUAAGAAAAACCACUACAAUUACAAAACCCACAUCUCCAAAAUCAAAUACUUCAAGAAAAACCACUAAAAUCGCAAAAUCCACACCUCCAAAACCAAGCAGAACUACAAAAAAUACUGUAACAAUAUUGAUGAAUUUUUCUGACCCAACUACUACCAUAAACAGUACCAGAGUCCAUCAACCCAGCACUGGCACAGUGACCACUGGUACAAAUAGUACCACAGGUCAUCUACCCCACACUGGUAAACUCACCUCUGAUGUACAUAGUAUUCCUCUACCCAACACUGAUGUACUGACGAUUGGUACAAAUAUUACCACAGCUCCUGAACCCAGCACUGGCACAGUGACCACUCGUAUAAAUAGUACCACAGGUCAUCUACCCCACACUGGUAAACUCACCUCUGAAAUACAUAGUACUCCACUACACAACACUAAUACACUGGCUAUUGGUACAAAUAUUACCACAGCUCCUCAACCCAGCACUGGCACAGUGACCACUCGUAUAAAUAGUACCACAGGUCAUCUACCCCACACUGGUAAACUCACCUCUGAAAUACAUAGUACUCCACUACCCAACACUGAUACACUGACUAUUAGUACAAAUAUUACCACAGCUCCUGAACCCAGCAUUAGCACAGUGAUCAGUGGUAUAAAUAGUACCACAGGUCAUCUACCCCACACUAGUAAACUCACCUCUGAUAUACAUAGUACUCCACUACCCAACACCGAUAUACUGACUAUUGGUACAAAUAUUACCACAGCUCCUCAACCCAGCACUGGCACAGUGACCACUGGAAUAAAUAGUACCACAGGUCAUCUACCCCACACUGGUAAACUCACCUCUGAUGUACAUAGUAUUCCUCUACCCAACACCGAUGUACUGACGAUUGGUACAAAUAUUACCACAGCUCCUCAACCCAGCAUUGGCACAGUGACCACUGGUAUAAAUAGUACCACUGAAAAUGCAACAGCUGCUAGAAAUACUACAGAUGUGACCACAACCACCAUUUCCAACACUUCUACUACUGUAAACACUCCUGAAACCACAAGAGAAAGCGAUAUUAACACUACUGCGGAUUUGUAUGAUUCAACAGAAUCAGAGCUCAAGAACAUCCCAGAAACUACAACAACCACAAACCCUGACAUAGACACCACAGACUAUGAUACUUCAAACACAACUGAAGGAAGUCAAAAAGACUUCAGCACCAGUUCUGUAGAUCUGUUUGAUUCAACUGAAGAACAAGAGGUCAACACCAUCCCAGAGACUUCAGAUCAUAAUACAAUCACAGAUUCUGACAUAGACACAGAUUAUGACACUACAAUCACAGCUGGCACAAUUCAAACAGCCAUCAGCACAAUUUCAGUAGAUCGACAUGAGACGAAAGAAGAACCAGAGCUCAACACCAUCCCAGAAACUACAAUAACUGUAGACCUUGACACAGACCCAACACACUAUGAUACUUCAAACACAACUAACACAAGUCAAAUAGACACCAAUCCCACUUCUAGAGAUCUCUAUCAUUCAACAGAAGAGCCAGAGCUCAACACCAUCUCAGAAUCUAUAACAACCAUAGAUCUUGAAAUAGACACAACACACUAUGAUACUUCAAAUACAACUAACACAAGUCAAAUAGACAUCAGCCCCACUUCUAUAGAUCUAUAUGAUUCAACAGAAGAGCCAGAGCUUAACACCAUCUCAGAAACUACAACUAUAGACCUUGAAACAGACACAACAGACUAUGACACUUCAAACACAACUGAAAGAAGUCAAAGAAACAUCACCACAACUUCAGAAGAUCUGUCUGAUUCAACAGAAGAACCAGAGCUCAACACCAUCUCAGAAAUUGCAACAACUGUAGACCUUGACAUAGACCCAACACACUAUGAUACUUCAAACACAACUAACAUAAGUCAAAUAGACAUCAACACAACUUCUAUACAUCUGCUUAAUUCCACAGAAGAACCAGAGUUGAACAUCAUUCCAGAAACUACAAAUGAUAAUAAAAUCACAGAUUUUGACAUAGACACAGAUUAUGACACCACAAUCACAGCUGGCACAAUUCAAACAGCCAUCGACACAACUUCAGUAGAUCGAUAUUAUACAACAGAAGAACCAGAGCUCAACACUAUCACAGAAACUACAACCAUAGCGCUUGACAUAGAAUCAACAGCCUAUGAUACUUCAAAUACAAUUAACAAAAGUCAAAGAGACAUCAAGACAACUGCAGAAGAUAUGUAUUUUUCAACAGAAGAACCAGAGCUCAACACCAUUCCAGAAAGGACAAAUUAUAGUAAAAUCACAGAUUUUGUCACAGAUACAAGUUUUGACACCAUAAUCACACCUGCCACAAUUCAAACAAACAUCAAUGCAAACUCAGUAACUCCUAAUGAAUCAUCAAGAAAAACUGAAAUUAAUGAGCAUGUAGAACAUACUGGUACAACACUAAAUAAAAAUAGCACUAAUGAGAAAAACGUAGCUAUAUCUUCGAUAAGUCAAGAAUUCAUCAGCAGAAGUUCAGCAACUUGGUUUAGUUCAACACCCCAAACCCCAGUUAACGUUCUGUCAGAACCUGCAAGUUUUACCACAAAAAGUAAUGCUCUACUUCAUAUGUCCACAUUGACAACAGCAAUUCCUGCACAUUCUAAUUGGCCAAGCUCUACUUUCCCACUGUCUACUUCAAGCACUGCUGAGGCUAUUUCAUCAAACACUACUUCGUCUCCCAUAACACCCUUUAACACAGCCCCACCGUCACCAGUGGCACAUACAGGACCUACAGCUGUGUCCACAGCAGAAGCUGCUGGUACAGCUUUUUUCACACAUAGACCAGAAGUUUACCUGGAAUUUACACUCAAUUUGACAUUUGAAGAGGACCUUAGGAAUUCAUCUUCUAAGAAGUUCUACCUCCUGGCAAAAAAUAUAACAGAAGCGCUGAAUUUGGUGUACAGAACCACAUACAUGAAUAAGUUUCUUGGCACUGUGGUGACAGGCUUCAGAAAAGGUUCUAUUGUGGUCAGCGUCUCCUUGAUCUUCUAUAACAUCAGCGUGAUGCCCAGCCUCGAGGAGGUGCAGAACACACUGAGAGCAUCCAAUCUCGCCCUGCUGCUGGUGCCAUCUUCCAUCAGUGCCUCACAAACUUCACAGUUUCCUCCAAUUACUGCAGUCAGUGCACAGUCAGAUAUAAGUGCACCUCCUACAUCAGGAAACCAGCACAUAGCAGGAUUAUCAACAACACAACUAAACAUGAGCACAAAUACAAAUUGCCAACCAGCACAUGCAAUCAAUAUGACAGUAAAAAACACCACCCAACCAGCUAGGGACAUAAGCAGUACCGACAUGGUCCUUGUGAACACGACCGCAGUGACUGCAGAUGCAAAAAUGAGCACAGCCAGCAUCUUGACUAGAGAAAUUGUAAAAAGUGCUGUAAAUACUACAUCUAGUAGAACUUCAACCACAAUUAGAAAAACUACAGCAACCAGUAUAAACCCAACCACCAGUAGAAAAACUGCUGAAACCACAAAAGCCAUAUCUCCAAAACCAACCAGAUUAAGAAAAACCACUACAAUCGCAAAAUCCACAUCUCCAAAAUCAACCACAUCAAGAAAAACCACUACAAUCACAAAACCCACAUCUCCAAAAUCAACCGCUUUAAGAAAAACCACUACAAUUACAAAACCCACAUCUCCAAAAUCAACCGCUUUAAGAAAAACCACUACAAUCGCAAAACCCACACCUCCAAAACCAAGCAGAACUACAAAAAAUACUGUAACAAUAUUGAUGAAUUUUUCUGACCCAACUACUGCCAUAAACAGUACCAGAGUCCAUCAACCCAGCACUGGCACAGUGACCACUGGUAUAAAUAGUACCACAAAUCAUCUACCCCACACUGGUAAACUCACCUCUGAAAUACAUAGUACUAAACUACCCAACACUAAUACACUGACUAUUGGUACAAAUAUUACCACAACUCCUGAACCCAGCAUUAGCACAGUGAUCAGUGGUAUAAAUAGUACCACAGGUCAUCUACCCCACACUGGUAAACUCACCUCUGAAAUACAUAGUUCUCCACUACCCAACACUAAUACACUGACUAUUGGUACAAAUAUUACCACAGCUCCUCAACCCAGCACUGGCACAGUGACCACUGGUAUAAAUAGUACCACAGGUCAUCUACCCCACACUGGUAAACUCACCUCUGAAAUACAUAGUACUCCGCUACCCAACACUAAUACACUGACUAUUGGUACAAAUACUACCACAGCUCCUCAACCCAGCAUUAUCACAGUGACCACUGGUAUAAAUAGUACCACAGGUCAUCUACCCCACACUGGUAAACUCACCUCUGAAAUACAUAGUACUCCACUACCUAACACUGAUACACUGACUAUUGGUACAAAUACUACCACAGCUCCUCAACCCAGCAUUAUCACAGUGACCACUGGUAUAAAUAGUACCACAGGUCAUCUACCCCACACUGGUAAACUCACCUCUGAAAUACAUAGUACUCCGCUACCCAACACUAAUACACUGACUAUUGGUACAAAUACUACCACAGCUCCUCAACCCAGCAUUAUCACAGUGACCACUGGUAUAAAUAGUACCACAGGUCAUCUACCCCACACUGGUAAACUCACCUCUGAAAUACAUAGUACUAAACUACCCAACACUAAUACACUGACUAUUGGUACAAAUAUUACCACAACUCCUGAACCCAGCAUUAGCACAGUGAUCAGUGGUAUAAAUAGUACCACAGGUCAUCUACCCCACACUGGUAAACUCACCUCUGAAAUACAUAGUUCUCCACUACCCAACACUAAUACACUGACUAUUGGUACAAAUAUUACCACAGCUCCUCAACCCAGCACUGGCACAGUGACCACUGGUAUAAAUAGUACCACAGGUCAUCUACCCCACACUGGUAAACUCACCUCUGAAAUACAUAGUACUCCACUACCCAACACUAAUACACUGGCUAUUGGUACAAAUAUUACCACAACUCCUCAACCCAGCAUUAGCACAGUGAUCACUGGUAUAAAUAGUACCACAAAUCAUCUACCCCACACUGGUAAACUCACCUCUGAAAUACAUAGUACUCCACUACCCAACACUGAUACACUGACUAUUGGUACAAAUACUACCACAGCUCCUCAACCCAGCACUGGCACAGUGAUCACUGGUAUAAAUAGUACCACAGGUCAUCUACCCCACACUGGUAAAUUCACCUCUGAAAUACAUAGUACUAAACUACCCAACACUAAUACACUGACUAUUGGUACAAAUAUUACCACAACUCCUGAACCCAGCAUUAGCACAGUGAUCAGUGCUAUAAAUAGUACCACAGGUCAUCUACCCCACACUGGUAAACUCACCUCUGAAAUACAUAGUUCUCCACUACCCAACACUAAUACACUGACUAUUGGUACAAAUAUUACCACAGCUCCUCAACCCAGCAUUGGCACAGUGACCACUGGUAUAAAUAGUACCACAAAUCAUCUACCCCACACUGGUAAACUCACUUCUGAAAUACAUAGUUCUCCACUACCCAACACUAAUACACUGACUAUUGGUACAAAUAUUACCACAGCUCCUCAACCCAGCAUUGGCACAAUGACCACUGGUAUAAAUAGUACCACAGGUCAUCUACCCCACACUGGUAAACUCACCUCUGAAAUACAUAGUACUCCACUACCCAACACUAAUACACUGACUUUUGGUACAAAUAUUACCACAGCUCCUGAACUCAGCAUUGGCACAGUGACCACUGGUAUAAAUAGUACCACAAAUCAUCUACCCCACACUGGUAAACUCACCUCUGAAAUACAUAGUACUCCACUACCCAACACUGAUACACUGACUAUUGGUACAAAUACUAUCACAACUCCUCAACCCAGCAUUAGCACAGUGAUCAGUGGUAUAAAUAGUACCACAAAUCAUCUACCCCACACUGGUAAACUCACCUCUGAAAUACAUAGUACUCCACAACCCAACACUAAUACACUGACUAUUGGUACAAAUAUUACCACAGCUCCUGAACCCAGCAUUAGCACAGUGAUCAGUGGUAUAAAUAGUACCACAAAUCAUCUACCCCACACUGGUAAACUCACCUCUGAAAUACAUAGUACUCCACUACCCAACACUAAUACACUGACUAUUGGUACAAAUAUUACCACAGCUCCUCAACCCAGCAUUGGCACAGUGACCACUGGUAUAAAUAGUACCACAAAUCAUCUACCCCACACUGGUAAACUCACCUCUGAAAUACAUAGUUCUCCACAACCCAACACUAAUACACUGACUAUUGGUACAAAUAUUACCACAGCUCCUCAACCCAGCAUUGGCACAGUGACCUCUGGUAUGAAUAGUACCACAGGUCCUCUACCCAACACUGGUAAACUGACCUCUGGAAUAAAUAGUAUUCCAAUAUCCAACACCAGUACACUGACAACUGGUAUAAACAAUACCUCAGCUCCUUUACUCAACACUGGUACACUUCACACUAUCAAUACCACACCUGGCUCCAGUGCAUCUGCUGUCACUACCAGCCAUAGUUACACUCCUACCAUCAGUGUGAAUGGUAAGAUCACGAUUCUGCUGAAUGCUUCCACACAUGGUGGUGGCAUGAAUCCUGCUGGAUCUGCACUGCCUUAUAGAACACCAUCUGGCCCUCUAUCUAACUAUUCAAGCACAGCAGCUACCACUUCAAGAGCCACUGCAGCCACGCAACUCACCACCCUGAGACCAAUAUCAAGCACAAGUAUUUUCCACAGAAAGUUCACACUAAAAUUCAGCCUCAGUGAAACGUUCACGGCUGACCUGCUGAACUCAUCAUCUGAGAGGUACAGGAUUCUUGUGGAGACCAUCACCCGUGAGGUGGACAAAAUGUAUUCAGAGAAAUUCCCAAAGUCCUUCUUCAGAAGCAUUGUAACAGGAUUCAGGUAG